GUGGGGAAUAUUGCACAAUGGGGGAAACCCUGAUGCAGCAACGCCGCGUGAGUGAAGAAGUAUUUCGGUAUGUAAAGCUCUAUCAGCAGGGAAGAAAAUGACGGUACCUGACUAAGAAGCACCGGCUAAAUACGUGCCAGCAGCCGCGGUAAUACGUAUGGUGCAAGCGUUAUCCGGAUUUACUGGGUGUAAAGGGAGCGUAGACGGAUGGGCAAGUCUGAUGUGAAAACCCGGGGCUCAACCCCGGGACUGCAUUGGAAACUGUUCAUCUAGAGUGCUGGAGAGGUAAGUGGAAUUCCUAGUGUAGCGGUGAAAUGCGUAGAUAUUAGGAGGAACACCAGUGGCGAAGGCGGCUUACUGGACAGUAACUGACGUUGAGGCUCGAAAGCGUGGGGAGCAAACAGG
rnacentral:rRNA from 1 species